AGCCGGAGGUCGAGUACAAAGCGAACUAUUCUUUCGCCUUUUACUAAAGAAUACCGUGUACUCGUCCCAUUCACCGGCAUACGCCUAUUUUUGGAGGGAGUUCUCAAUGAGAAAU